rnacentral:rRNA from 1 species
AUUGAACGCUGGCGGCAGGCCUAACACAUGCAAGUCGAGCGGAGCGGCGGACGGGUGCGUAAUGCCUAGGAAUCUGCCUGGUAGUGGGGGAUAACGUCCGGAAACGGGCGCUAAUACCGCAUAAUAUCAGAUGAGCCUUGGUCGGAUGAGCUAGUUGGUGGGGUAAAGGCCUACCAAGGCGCCGAUCCUUAACUGGUCUGAGAGGAUGAUAAGUCACACUGGAACUGAGACACGGUCCAGACUCCUACGGGAGGCGGCGGUGGGGAUUAUUGGACAAUGGGCGAAAGCCUGAUCCAGCCAUGCCGCGUGUGUUAAGAAGGUCUUCGGAUUGUAAAGCUCUUUAAGUUGGGAGGCGUUACCAACAGAAUAAGCACCGGCUAACUGCGUGCCAGCAGCCGCGGUAAUAC